AUAUAACGUUAAAUGCCAUCAAAGAGGAGUAGUGUUUUGUAUUUUUGUAGGUUUUCUCUUUCAAUUUAAUAAAUAAAUGCUCUGUUUGGUUAAUUAGCUCAAAAGCAGUCUCAGAGGUGGUCUAAGGUAACGGUAACUGUUAAAAUCGAAUAUAACCUUACCUAGUUUAAAUUAUUUGAAAUUUAUCACUAUAAACUAUACAGUGUUAACUUUCUAAUAAUUUAAUUUUUAACCGUAGUAACGUUAAUUAGUUUGUUUGAAUGCCUGCUGCUCGAGCUUGAUGAUGCUCAUGCUAUCCAUGCUGUGAACUUGAAUAUAAACCGAUAGAACGUUAAAUAUAAAGUUUAACGUUAAUUAGACCGAGGCUGCCGAAAUCAUGUUCAGUGUAACGUUAUGUGGGAUUAAUAAUUUCCCCUUUUCUCCCUCAAGUGGCAGGCUUGUAAAUUCUGUCAUCUGUUCAUUAUUGGUGUUGAUGGUGUUUUUCACAUGCAUGCUUUUUAAUGCUAGUUUAAUUCUCAAAUUGAUCUGAUACUUUCGUUCCACAAAAAGUAAACACAUUUUUCACUUUCUUAGGGCCUGACAACCACCAGUUGAGUCCAUGAUUCAGGGAAGAGACAGUCUGGGCAGCAGCAACAAGACAACUAUUACAAGUAGAGAUGGGUUUCAAGAACUGACACAACCACAUAUCCUCCAAAUCAUCUCUGCGUGGAUGGCAGCAAGGAUCCAGGAUCAAGAGAUCAUUCUUCAUGGAGACUGUUCCACAGGAAGCAGUUUCUCCUGGAUUUGAGGGAAAGAUUAAAAACAAGGAGGUCUGGGAAUGACUGAAGGGAUCUGACAGCAGUGAGGGAAGGAAGUUAUCACCAGAAUCCUUGGUGAGUAGAAGAGACUUCUCUUGAAAACCAUAAAGAAAAGAUUCCAGGAUGAAGAGGAGGAGGAAGAACACGUUUAACAAUUUUCUAUAAGCUUGCCAUUAGUUAUAAUAAAAACAAUGAACAUGACUACAAUAAUAUGCUAAAUGUUAUUAAAAGAUUCCAGUUUGCAAGAAGUCUGAGUGUCUGACUCUACACUAGAGGAACUCUUUUCUGAAGAAGAUCAGGUGCUGAGAAGAAGCCUUGUUCUACAGCAAAACACUGCAUCAAGCCUCCUGUCCUUCCCUCAGAAGAGCCUGUCUUCUGCUGCUGGGGUAAGAAACACCCUCUUCCUCUUCUCUAUCAGCUGUCCUGCACCUAACUCUGCCUCCUCAGCACUGUCUGAAAGAGUCAUCUCCACAGUCAGUAAUCAGAGAUCACAGAUUCUUCUGAGAAAGUCGAUAUGUUCAUUUUCUUAAAAAACUUUGUUUUUUCGGGUGGGACAAAUAAUACAGGAGAGAUGCUAGAAAUCUCUAUAUUGUUCAUUUUUCAUAUCUUUACGCUUUAUGAAUGUUUUUCUUCUGAGAAGCUCAAAAAUUAUGGUUCUUUGGUAAUUGCUUUAUUGUUUAGGUUUAUCCUCUGAUAGUGAGCACAGAGCCCUGAUCAUGACAUGCAAGAAAAAGAAAGAAAUCAUGUCUAUGAUUUACUAAUUCAUUCCCUCUAUGUACUAAAACGUGCACGAUUACUUUUACAUUUCAUUGAUUUGCUAAAUCGUAUGCACAAUUUACUAAUUCGUUCUCUUGAUGUAUAAAUAGUGUACACGUUUUAGCAAAUCGAGGGAAUGAAAUAUAAAAUCAUGCGCAUGAAUUAGCCUAAAUUUUUUCCUGCAUGUCGUGUAAUUAAAGCACAUCACCACCAGACAUUUAUACCAGGAGCCUCAUAUACGACGCUCACAGUUUUACUUUGUGCAGUAUCUCUGUGCAGUAUCUGCUGAAUUGUUUCAUAUCUAUUUAUCAUGUAUUUUUCGUUGCACUAAAUUAUGUUGUAUCAAUAAGUUUACUGAUAAUUAUUUUUAAUUUUCACUAAUAACGUCAUUAACCAUCUCCCCAUCUUUAAGACAAAAAUUCUCUAUUGUUUAUAUUGUGUAAUCUAUGAAUUGAUGUGUUUAGUUUUCUGUGCUCAUAACUUAGUAACAUUUUGCAUGGUUAAAGAACAGGUGCGAUGUUCAAAAUGUUUUUAUACAAAGUAGUGCUGAAUAAAUAUUGAUUUGUGAAUGAA